UUUCCGUAGGUGAACUGCGGAAGAUCAUUAAAAAUGGAGUGGCGUUGUUUUGGUCACCAUUAAUAUCCUACCUUUGUGAAUUGUUUUGUGUAAUAACUUUUUCCAAUGAAAAAUUAUUUGUCUAUCCUGAAGAAAGUAGAAUACUUUUUUUAGGGAGUAGAUUUUAAUAAUUUUUCAGUGAAAAGACCUUUUUUAAUUAAACUUUUGUAUCAUUUGUCUAAAUUGUAAAAAAAUAAUUAAAACAACUUUUGACAAUGGAUCUCUUGGUUCUCGCAACGAUGAAGAACGCAGCAAAUGCGAUAAGUAAUGUGAAUUGCAGAAACGUGAAUCAUCAAUCUUCGAACGCAUAUUGCACUUUUUAGUUUACUAAAAAGUAUGUCUGUUGAGUAUCAGUAAAAUUCUCAUAAAAGCGUUGCGCUUUUAUGGUUAUGAGUGUUACAACGUAACAAUGUUUCACUUUAAAUUCAUUUUUAAAGCCAUCCGUUUGGUUUAAAAUAAUUAAAAUUGGAUAAAUUUUCCUGUAAAAAGGAUAACUAUUUCAGUUUUAGUUUUUUAAAUCCAAGGCCAAGGCCAAACAAAAGGAAUUUCAAAUACAAUCAACUUGAUCUCAAAUCAGAUAAGAGUACCGCUGAACUUAAGCAUAUCAAUAAGCGGAGGAAAGAAACUAACAAGGAUUCCCUUAGUAACGGCGAGUGAAGCGGGAAGAGCUCAAAUUUGAAAUCUCAAGGUUUACCUUGACGAAUGUAGUUUAAAGAAGUGUUUUCUGUUAGUGGAGUGGCAAAAGUUCUUUGGAAUAGGACAUCAUAGAGGUGAGAAUCCGUAUUUGCCAUUUCAGCUUGUAUACACUUUCAAAGAGUCGGAUUGUUGGGAAUGCAGUCCAAAAUGGUGGUAGAUUUCAUCUAAAGCUAAUAUGGCGAGAGACGAUAGCGAACAAUACGUGAGGAAGAUGAAAGAACUUGAAAGAGAGUUAAACAGUACGUGAAAUUGUCAAAGGGAAGCGUUUGACACCAGUGUUGUGUGAGAAAUCAUUGUGUGGAACGGUUGUUGUGGGUGAACCUUAUCAGCUCUCCUUACUCUUACCUUUUCACGCAAUGCACUUCUCUUUAACAAGUCAACAUCAAUUUCUUUUGUUGUAAAGGUCAGCGGAAGGUGGUUUCUUUCGGAGAAAUGUUUAUAGCCGUUGAUCUCUACAAUCGAGAGAUUGAGGUCUGCAGCGUAGAUCCUUCGGGUUAGUACGUCGGUGCUAAGUUAUAAUCCUAUAUAGACAACUGUUGACUAUUCGAUCAUGUAGCUUACUCGCUGACGCUAUUUUACUACGCUUAGGAU
rnacentral:misc_RNA from 1 species